rnacentral:rRNA from 1 species
UACGUAGGGUGCAAGCGUUGUCCGGAAUCACUGGGCGUAAAGCGCGCGCAGGCGGCGAUCUACGUCUGGGGUGAAAGCCCGGAGCUCAACUCCGGGACUGCCUUGGAUACGGGAUCGCUUGAGGAUUGGAGAGGCAAGGGGAAUUCCACGUGUAGCGGUGAAAUGCGUAGAGAUGUGGAGGAACACCUGUGGCGAAGGCGCCUUGCUGGCCAAUUACUGACGCUGAGGCGCGAAAGCGUGGGGAGCGAACAGG